rnacentral:lncRNA from 1 species
GGGCAGUUUAGCAGUUCGGAACAGUUGGAGCCCUUCUGAAUGUCCGUUUGGGCUCAAAUUUGACAGGCAGGCUCGGUUUAACGUACUGAGUAAGAAUAUAUCUUAAGUUUUCAGUUUUGACCUCGUUUGGUCACUGAAAACUGUACCGAACUGUAAUCUUUAUCAGAUAGCCGUCAGAUUUUAUUUCUCACUCUACGGGUGUCAGAAAAAUAUGAAAUUUCAAAUCUAGCCUCAUAAAAAUAUUUCUGACUUAUCCUCCAAUUUUCAUAAUUUUCUGAGACUGUGCAUUUUCUGCUAAUUUAUCUGUCCCGUUUCCAACAGAAAAUUCUAAAUCUUCUGUUUCCAGUCCGAUUUCAGCACAAGUCAUUUCUGACUUAUAUUUUACUCCUCUAAAUCCAAUAAAAAUAGUUUCUCACACUAUUUUUAUUUAUUUUUAUUUUUACACCAAAAUCUGGUAUGUUACACUUGGAGUAGAAGGAACUG